GUUGCAAUAAGACUCAAAAAGAAUCGAAAG
rnacentral:other from 1 species